UUUCUUUUUCUUUUUUCCUAUUAUUCUUCUUCUCCUUCUUCUUGUUUUCUUCUUCUCUUCUUCUUCUUCUUAUUGUUAUUAUUAUUUUCUUUUUUCCUCUUAUUUUUCUCUUCCUCUCCUAUUUUUCUUCUUCUUCUUUCUUCUCCUUCCCUUCCUUUUCCUUCUUCUUCUUAUUUUUUUCUUCUCCUUCUUCUUCUUCUUCUUUCUCCUUCUUCUUCUUCU
rnacentral:lncRNA from 1 species